rnacentral:misc_RNA from 1 species
GUGAGUCAUCGAAUCUUUGAACGCACAUUGCGCCCGCUGGUAUUCCGGCGGGCAUGCCCGUUCGAGCGUCAUUUUCAACCCUUCCCGGGAGACUCUUUUACUGGGGUCCGCGGGGCGUUGGCACUGAGCGCCGCCUAGGCGGCCGGUGCCGAAAUGAAGUGGCGGACGCGUGGCGGCCCCUAGCGCAGUAGAACACCUUCUAGAACCGCUUAGGAGAGCCGCAACGGCGGACCACAGCCUAUACAAAGCUUCUAUAAAAACUUGACCUCGGAUCGGGUAGGACUACCCGCUGAACUUAAG